AGGGGAAUCAUACAAUGGCUAGUAUGCCGGUCUCCAAAACCGCUCAUGCGGGUUCGAAUCCUGCUUCCCCUGCUA
rnacentral:tRNA from 4 species